ACCAACUAUAUAUAUAGUGGAAAUGAGUGCUGCUUAUUGAGUUUACCCCCAAAUGCUAACUUUUCCAGAUUGUCUUAUCUGCCAAACAGCACAUCUUAUUUUCUUCUUGGAGAUGAUGAAAUAGUUUGCAAACAGAGAUCCAAACUGAGCUGAGCUGAUGGCUACCAGCACUUGGAUGACUUCACGAUGUGUUUCUUGUGGAGUGGUGGCUACAAUGAUAGAGCGUAGUCGUUGCAGGAUUUAGGCGCAUUCAGUCAACAAAUGACUACUUGAUUGAGACGAUACACCCAUGUAUGAGACAUCACAGACUGAGAUAACAUACACCAAAUCUUGUGGAUAAACAACACUUUGCGAACACUGUGCAAACCGAGGAAAGACUUUUCCGGUGACGAAUCAGCCAGAUGACUCGCCAGUACAAGGUCCUUUUGGAAUAUAUUUCAGAAUGCUGAAGCUAACCAACACUCUGUGGACAGUGUGCACAACUCUGAUGAAGGACUUUUCCUGUGACAAAUCUAGACAUAAGACUCCCUACUACAAGUUUAAUUGUUGGAGUGCAAGUCAGAAUGUUGAA